CGGGUGAGUAAUGUCUGGGAAACUGCCUGAUGGAGGGGGAUAACUGCUGGAAACGGUAGCUAAUACCGCAUAACGUCGCAAGACCAAAGAGGGGGACCUUCGGGCCUCUUGCCAUCGGAUGUGCCCAGAUGGGAUUAGCUAGUAGGUGGGGUAACGGCUCACCUAGGCGACGAUCCCUAGCUGGUCUGAGAGGAUGACCAGCCACACUGGAAUGAGACACGGUCCAG
rnacentral:rRNA from 1 species